GCUAAGCUUGUAUGCACAUGUGUAUGUACAUAGGUGUGGUCAGGCGACGGAUGACGUGACUACAUAAAGAACCGGUUCGUGGGAGCUGCAACCGGCCGAUACAUGCCAAUGCACCUACGCAGCUCGCAUUAAAUCCUCGCUAAAUACUAGUACAUAGUUUAGUUAUACUAGUACAUAACUUAGGUAUACUAGUACAUAGUCUAGGCAUGUACCGUUGUCCAUAACAUUGUUAAAGUUCAAGGGCAAAACGAGAACUGGCAUACCUCGUCAGCAUUUUCACUUUCUGGUCUCUGCCAUUUGACUUUGAUCAGCCAGCGCAAUAAGUCUUACAAAGAGUGAAUAAAGUUUUAUUGCUAAGUGAAUAGAGAGUUUCAAGAUUAAAUCCUAUUAAGUGAAGUUCUUAUAAUCAAGCGAAGAUUCGAAAUUAUUGCCUAAGCGCGCAAUUCCAGAAUUGGUCACGGAUGAUUACGAAAGCACGAAGGGCGGUACUUGGGUCGAUCGUUACGAACGUGGAAGGCGUCCAUGGUGCCAUUAAUCACGCCCGAGAUUAAUCCACUACAGUCAAACUCCUUCAGAACGAGUACUUUUUAUUGGCGAUUCAAGGGAGCGGUAUCCGGUAAACUGCAUGGGCCUGCAUACCCGGACGGCGAACCAGACGCUCCGAUCGGCACUUCUAAUUUUUAUUUUUUUUUUUUUCUUAAAUCAACCUUAAGUUGAGAUAUAUGAUACUCUCGUUAAUCCAAAAAAAAAAAAAAAAAAAAAAAAACAAAGUUAAAGGAAGUUUACAGAAUUUAGAGUACCGUAUUUGCAAUAGUCUUAUCAAAUAUCUUUUACUCCUUAUAUGGCCCCGAAACCGCUUGCCGGUCGGGGUCGUGAUUAAAAC